AUGAAUCUCAUUAGUUGGAACUACCAGGGAGGGGGGAAUACCCGGACAGUUCGAGAAGUGGCGACUUUUAUUAGGUCGCAUUCCCCCAUGUUGGUGUUUUUGUGUGAAACAAGACAGUCCAAGGAGAGAAUGAAAAAACAUCGAUCAAGGUUUGGAUUGAAAGGCUUUGAUGGUGUGGACAGCAAUGGUAACAGUGGAGGUUUGGCGUUGUAUUGGCAUGAAUCGGUUAUGGUUAAUGUUGUUUUUUUCAAAUCAGAGGUGCAUAGACGCACAUGUUAA
rnacentral:rRNA from 1 species